AUGAACGCUUGCGGCGUGCCUAAUACCUGCAAGUCGCGCGAACGGACGAGAAGCUUGCUUCUCUGAUGUUAGCGGCGGACGGGUGAGUAACACGUGGAUAACCUACCUAUAAGACUGGGAUAACUUCGGGAAACCGUAGCUAAUACCGGAUAAUAUUUUGAACCGCAUGGUUCAAAAGUGAAAGACGGUCUUGCUGUCACUUAUAGAUGGAUCCGCGCUGCAUUAGCUAGUUGGUAAGGUAACGGCUUACCAAGGCAACGAUGCAUAGCCGACCUGAGAGGGUGAUCGGCCACACUGGAACUGAGACACGGUCCAGACUCCUACGGGAGGCAGCAGUAGGGAAUCUUCCGCAAUGGGCGAAAGCCUGACGGAGCAACGCCGCGUGAGUGAUGAAGGGCUUCGGAUCGUAAAACUCUGUUAUUAGGGAAGAACAUAUGUGUAAGUAACUGUGCACAUCUUGACGGUACCUAAUCAGAAAGCCACGGCUAACUACGUG
rnacentral:rRNA from 1 species